rnacentral:rRNA from 1 species
AAUCAACGCUGGCGGCGUGCCUCAGACAUGCAAGUCGAACGCGAAAGGUUCCUUCGGGAGCCGAGUAGAGUGGCGCUCGGGUGAGUAACACGUAGGUAAUUUGCCUUUGGGUGGGGAAUAACAAUCGGAAACGGUUGCUAAUACCGCAUAAUGCAGCGGCUCGACAUCGAGACAGUUGUUAAAGCGGGGGAUCCUUCGGGACCUCGCGCCUAAAGAGAAGCCUGCGGCGGAUUAGCUAGUUGGUGAGGUAAUGGCUCACCAAGGCGACGAUCCGUAACCGGCCUGAGAGGGCGGACGGUCACACUGACACUUAAAUACGGGUCAGACUCCUACGGGAGGCAGCAGUCGGGAAUUUUGGGCAAUGGGCGAAAGCCUGACCCAGCAACGCCGCGUGAAGGAUGAAAUCCCUCGGGAUGUAAACUUCGCAAGAACGGGAAGAAUAAGCGAGAGUAAAUACCUCUCGUGAUGACGGUACCGUUUGUAAGCUCCGGCUAACUCCGUGCCAGCCGCCG